AUUUUCCGCAAAAUACAAAAAUGGCCGUUAAAAUUAGAAAGAGAAAUUUUUCAUCACAAUCAAAUAUCGUCCUUAAUAACAUCAAAUAUGAAAUAAUUGCAUAGGGGUAACGUGGAACAUCGUAUGAGGGGAACGAGGGGAUAGUAUUCCAGGGAUAUUCCAAACCCCCUCAUUGAAGAUCACAAGUGUUCGUGACACACUCAUUCAUGAUCAAUUUGAUUCCUUUGGGUGUCUUUACACACACCAAGCAAAUACCUCAACAAAACCAUGAGGACUAGUGAUUUAGACAAGUGGAAAGGUGAAGGAACAAGAAUCUUUUAAUAGGAGUAUUUUUGGAGUAAAAAACUUCGGAACUGCGAACAGAUAUACAUAUUAUUAAUAGGUCACUAAUAAUAUUACACCACCAUGUACAAUAAGUUCCAUUGGUGAACAUUUAAACAAAACUUCUCCAAAAAGCAAAAAGUCAUAAUAAAUGCAUAUUUAAAAAAGUUUGUCAAAGAUUUAUGUAAUUUAGCAGUAGAAUAAGAUCUAAAAAUACGUAAAAAAUACGCACAAUCAAGAUUUGUAGAUAUGUCUUACAUACAUUCCUAUACAAAGAA
rnacentral:lncRNA from 1 species